rnacentral:misc_RNA from 1 species
UGGGAAAAACUUUUUUUUUUUUUUGAAUUGAUGAAAGUAGCAUUUAGGAAACUAAUAAAAGCAAAGAAGAAGAAAAGGAAGAUAACAAAACAUUAAAGCUCAUAUUUUGUUUGCUAAAAAGCAAAUAUUUUGUUUGCUAAAAAGCAAAUUCAACAGAAGCUCCAAACUACAGCAAAAAAACACACUAGAAGGAGGACAACCAGAGAGAACUAAAGCACCCACAACUAUUAACAGCAUUUUCUUAUAAAACUUGUCAAAUACACAUAUGUUCAAUCGCUAGAAGGAGGAGGAGGAGUAGGAGGAGGAGAGAGGCGCUCCCCUAGCUGUCGGUGAAUGGGAGACGAGGAAGGGGCAUAUUG